GACGAACGCUGGCGGCGUGCCUAAUACAUGCAAGUCGAACGAAGCUGUUUUAACUGGUGCUUGCACCGACUUAAACAACUGAGUGGCGAACGGGUGAGUAACACGUGGGUAACCUGCCCCAAAGCGGGGAUAACAUUUGGAAACAGAUGCUAAUACCGCAUAACCACAGAAACCACAUGGUUUCUGUGUCAAAGAUGGUUUCGGCUAUCACUUUGGGAUGGACCCGCGGCGUAUUAGCUAGUUGGUAAGGUAAUGGCUUACCAAGGCAAUGAUACGUAGCCGAACUGAGAGGUUGAUCGGCCACAUUGGGACUGAGACACGGCCCAAACUCCUACGGGAGGCAGCAGUAGGGAAUCUACCACAAUGGACGAAAGUCUGAUGGAGCAACGCCGCGUGAGUGAAGAAGGUUUUCGGAUCGUAAAACUCUGUUGUCAGAGAAGAACGUGUGCGAGAGUAACUGUUCGUGCAGUGACGGUAUCUGGCCAGAAAGCCACGGCUAACUACGUGCCAGCCGCCGCAGUAA
rnacentral:rRNA from 1 species